CAGCCGCCGCGGUAAUACGUAGGGUGCAAGCGUUCCUCGGAAUUACUGGGCGUAAAGCGUGCGCAGGCGGUUCGGAAAGAAAGAUGUGAAAUCCCAGAGCUUAACUUUGGAACUGCAUUUUUAACUACCGGGCUAGAGUGUGUCAGAGGGAGGUGGAAUUCCGCGUGUAGCAGUGAAAUGCGUAGAUAUGCGGAGGAACACCGAUGGCGAAGGCAGCCUCCUGGGAUAACACUGACGCUCAUGCACGAAAGCGUGGGGAGCAAACAGGAUUAGAUACCCUGGUAGUCCACGCCCUAAACGAUGUCAACUAGCUGUUGGGGCCUUCGGGCCUUGGUAGCGCAGCUAACGCGUGAAGUUGACCGCCUGGGGAGUACGGUCGCAAGAUUAAAACUUAAAGGAAUUGGCGGG
rnacentral:rRNA from 1 species